CGCUAUUUGCCUAACGAACUGCGGAAGCGCAUUCCGGUGCCCACGCAGGUGCUUCUUCGUUAACUGUGGAGCCCAAUCGCCUCUUUUAUUUGCCCCAGGCAUUUAAAAGGCCUCAUUAUUCAUUAAGCUAGCUGCAUUCAAAAUCCGUUUUAGAAAGACGCUAUGUUUUAAAAGGGUGACAGUGCUAGGCAGAUGAAUUUGUGCUAAGUCUGAAAAUGCAGGCAUCCCAUUUCGUGGUGAUUUCAUUAUGGCGUGUGCUAUUUACAGCUGCUCUAGACGACCAUAAAAUAAUCCUCCUCUUAAGUUUUUCGGUAUCCGAGUCAUUUUUACUAUUUCCUUUAGCCUACUUAACCAAAUAAUUACUUGGCAGAAAGCGUAAUCAGCUUGCUAUAUUUGGUAGUCCAGUAGUAGCCUGUGCUAAAACAGUUCGCAACUUCGGCUACCAAGCCAUUUGACUAGCUAGCUAACCUUAACCGGCAAACAUUCAAUCUGUCAAACGUGUUUGGCGGCUUGUCAGUCGUGUACAUUCCGUAAAUGUCUACCUGGGCCAUGCUUCACGCAUGUGACAAAGCUACUAUAAUCCCGAUUUUGGGAUAAACACUUUUUCAGUUUCACGAAGCGAAUUAAGAGUUUCAAGGUUCAUUUGCUGAAUAUACAACACACGAUGAAAUCACACACACAGAAUUUAACGAAAUUAACCAUCUUGGCAUUUAGAAAGGAACAUGUUUUUAGCAUUUAAGAGACCGACAAGCUAGGCAUUUAAGACAGUGGUUCUCAGAAUCGGUUCUGGGGGCUCCUUGCGUAUAUUGGCUUUUCUCCAUUGGUUUUGAUGAUUUACAAGAAAAAAAUAAUAGCCUAAUAAUAAUUAGAAAUUCAACGCAGGCUACAUUAUUUUUCUUCAUGCACCAGGUGGAAAACUUGCCGUACAAAGUGCGUUGUCAUAUUUACACGCCUGCAGAUCAGUUAUUAAAAUACUUGGUAGAUUUGUUCAUCACCGCUGAGUGUUAAUUUUUGUUCGGUAGAAAGUGAUUUGCGAACGAUCGGUCACCUAGCGUCACCCAGCAAGUGAACACCACAAACGGCGAUGGAGUAGCUAGUAGUAGCAGGCUCAUUAUCUGACUGGCGAAAACCUACGACGAUAACUUGCUCGGUUAACAGAUCUACCAGACAGUUAUACGAAAAUUUGCCUAGUCAAAUCACCAGUAGCCUACACAUCUCCGAUUGAUUGACCAUCAGUGUAGUCAAUGUUCUUCCCCUGUGGUUCAUAUUGCUAACGCGUGAGCUAACCACGGACAGCCUACCUAGCUCACUGGCAAGCUGAUAUGCUAGCUAAGCAUAUUCGUUUUGCUGAGAAACAUAAAUUGAAGAUAACUGAACAUAGCCUAAUUGUAUUUUUAAUGUCAUACAUAACGUGAUUACAUGACACAGUACAGUCACGGAUGGAAACUAAACUCCGUAAACAUCUGAUAAUAUAUUUUAAAACAUAACGGCAGACAGUCAGCUAGCCUCGUUCAGGUUGAGGGGCUUUUCCGCACCGGACUGUCAAUCAAAUUGUAAAAAUCACAAGACCGCUUAACUCUAUGGUUUUGGCUCCAAAUCGAGAAAAUGGCCGCGCCCGCCAUUGAGCUUCAAAACGUGUUUUAGAGACCCACGGAGAGUCAAUGGGUGACGUCACAGUAGCUGUGUCCAUAUUUUUUACAGUCUCUGAUCUUAACCCAAUCUCUCCUGGUCAACACACUUUCCCCUUACGUCACAUCCUUACUAGGGUAGUCUUCCAACUACUCUCGGGAAAGUAAUACAGUGCCUCCUAGUGGUCAGAAUACACUCAACCUGUAACAUCUAUUAUUGAACACAACAAAUUGCAUGGUAUGAAACGGGAAUGAACUAUUUUUUCUUGAUAAAAUCAUUGUUUUCAUAGAACUUACGACCAGAGAUGUUUGCUUAACAACGGUGCGACUAGAACUACAAACCAGAGUGUCUGCAUAAGGACGGUCCAAUUAGAACUACGAAGCAGAGUUUUGCUUGACAACGGUAAGAUAAUAUGCCCAAACGCCCGCAGAAGAACAUUUCACGUCCAGCUGAUUAAAUCUAUAAAAAUCAAUAAAUAUAAAAGCAAACUCAUUGUCAUUGUUGGUACACGGCAUGAAAUUGAUGUGAAAUUACAGGGAAAUUCCUACAGUAAUCUGCUGUUUUAUUGAUAUACGGCACAUUGCUUAAGACAGAACAGCAUUGUGGGCGUUUUGCUCUUAACUGCAUAACACCGUUUGAAUUUUCAGUAAUUAACUGGAAAUUGCUAUGGAUAUUGGGAAGCCGUUGGUUAGUAGUGGCGACAGAGAAUUUGCUAACAAAGCAAUGCCAAGUUUCGAGUGUCACACCUAAUAGGCUACGCGAAUUUAAAAGCAACCCUGUACUUUGAGUAUUUUUUGUUGCAGCUGGCUAGAGUGUCGCCGGAUUGUGCAGGUAGGCUACGUGCGUUUCGAAUUCAUCAAACUAGUUAGUAUCAUAACGGCCAAUCAUUCGCCAGCGAUAGCUUAGUAUGAAAGCAUGUUUACAUGUCAGUAUUGUGGUCACCAAUGCUUAACGAAGUAUGCGUUUGUUAGGCAUAUGAAAGUACAUGCGAGUCUUCCAACCGCGUUGUUUAAAUGCGCCUUUUUUGAUUGCUCCCGUUCGUUCAGAAACAUGACGCAGUUGGAAUGUCAUGUAUAUCGAGAGCAUAAAGAUAAGAGGAGAGCACAGGUAACUGCAAUCGAGUGUGUAUCUUGUCAUGUAGAAUUUUGCAAUGUUAGAUGCAAUGAUUUAUCCAGUUUAAACUCUCAUUUGAAAUCUCAUAUCGGAGAGGGCAGGGCCGUUUCUUGUCCAUUUCGUCAGUGUGGGAGAACGUUUUCAGUCGUCUCUUCCUUUAUUUCUAAUUUUUCCACAGUACACAAGUCUUGUACAGUAUCCAGUCUUCUGGGCCAUGUAACAGUAGGAACAGAGACGAGACUAACGGCAACCAAUGAACAAGUUGAGGAUGUUUCAGUGUUGGAGGGGGAUUUGACUGACGACGUAACGU